GACAUUAAUAAUCAAUAAUUUUGGCUUGUCCAUCAUUAUCUAUUUACUGUGAACUGUAUUAUUACUUGACGCUUGAGGGAUGUUCCAAUGCUAUAAGGAUAGGCACUGGAAAUGUUAACCGAGUCAUAAUCAAGCUUAGGCUUGGUAUCCUAUUAUUAUUUACCAAAAGAAUUCAGAAUUAAUAUUGUAACAUAGACGUAAAAAAUCUAUAAAACAACUUUUAACAACGGAUCUCUUGGUUCUCGCAUCGAUGAAGAACGUAGCAAAGUGCGAUAACUAGUGUGAAUUGCAUAUUCAGUGAAUCAUCGAGUCUUUGAACGCAACUUGCGCUCAUUGGUAUUCCAAUGAGCACGCCUGUUUCAGUAUCAAAACAAACCCUCUAUCCAACUUUUGUUGAAUAGGAUGACUGAGAGUCUCUUGAUCUAUUCUGAUCUUGAACCUCUUGAAAUGUACAAAGGCCUGAUCUUGUUUGAAUGCCUGAACUUUUUUUUAAUAUAAAGAGAAGCUCUUGCGAUAAAACUGUGCUGGGGCCUCCCAAAUAACACAUCUUUAAAUUUGAUCUGAAAUCAGGUGGGAUUACCCGCUGAACUUAAGCAUAUCA
rnacentral:sRNA from 1 species